rnacentral:rRNA from 1 species
GACGAACGCUGGCGGCGUGCCUAAUACAUGCAAGUAGGACGCAGUUGCGAACGGGUGAGUAACGCGUAGGUACCUGCCUAUUAGAGGGGGAUAACUACUGGAAACGAUAGCUAAUACCGCAUCCUUGUAGAUGGACCUGCGUUGUAUUUGCUAGUAGGUGGGGUAAUGGCCUACCUAGGCGACGAUACAUAGCCGGACUGGGAGGGUGAUCGGCCACACUGGGACUGAGGAACGGCCCAGACUCCUACGGGAGGCAGCAGGAGGGAAUCUUCGGAAAUGGGGGGAACCCUGACCGAGCAACGCCGCGUGAGUGAAGAAGGUUUUCGGAGCGUAAAGCUCUGUUGUUAAGGAAGCGGUACUUAACCAGAAAGGGACGGCUAACUACGUGCCAGCAGCCGCGGUAAUAC